rnacentral:rRNA from 1 species
UACAGGGGGUGCAAACGUUGCUCGGAAUUAUUGGGCGUAAAGCGCGCGUAGGCGGCCACUUAAGUCGGAUGUGAAAGCCCCUGGCUCAACUGGGGAAGUGCACCCGAAACUGCAAGGCUCGAGUCCGGGAGAGGGGGGUGGAAUUCCCAGUGUAGCGGUGAAAUGCGUAGAUAUUGGGAGGAACACCGGUGGCGAAGGCGGCCCCCUGGACCGGUACUGACGCUGAGGCGCGAAAGCGUGGGUAGCAAACGGG